ensembl:lncRNA
AGAAAAACAAAUAACUGUACAUAAUGCAUGGCUUCGAAUCAGUGCCACUUAAAGUAAAAAUAUGUCACGCAGACCGUCGUGAAGGGUCUACACGCAAGGGCAUUCCGUGACAGAAAUUCUGCAUCCGAGUCCCACCGGCUCAGCAACUGCCUGUUGGACCCCUGGCUUUCCUCUCCUCUCUGCCACCCUCCUUCCUGCCUGUCGGUGCUGUGCGUGACAGUAGCUCACUGAGAAGUGGAAAUUAGACUAGUAAACAAUGAUUAGCUCCAGGGCUGGGGCAGCCUGGUCUACCGUGGGUCCUGUCUCCACGCGCCUGCCGCCAGAGCAUUAUAUGCAACAUGAAGCGCUCCAAGCCCCUUCCCAUCCCCAGGCCCUUCCCACCACUCUUCUCCCCACCCCAGCAGAGUCAGCUUGGGGUCAGGGACAAACUUUCACAGCCAGGUUACAGGAGAUAAUCACAGGCAAACACGGCAGCCACACGCAAAAAGAACACACAUGAGCCCCAGCCUGCUGUAACCCUGGCUCUAAUUAGAGGUGAUGGGGAUGCGAGUGGCCACAUGUGUAUGAAGGAGAGCAGG